GAGGGAAGAGGCUUUAAGUGCUGGGGAGCUUAGCGGCUCUGCUUAACCCCGCAGGUGUGGCGGCGGGGGGACCGGCGAGGAGGAUGUGACUUCGCAGGAAGAUGAAACCAAGCGUUGUGGAGGCUGCCGACGAAGGAGCGCGUCCCUCAGAUGGAAUGCAAGCAAAAAGUGAAAAGAUAAAAUCUUCUCUGAAGAAUGUGAAAAAAGAUACAGGGAAGCUAGAGAAACUUAAGUAUAAGCCACUCACUGGGAAGGUGUUUUACCUCGACAUUCCAUCAAAUGUGAUCUCUGAAAAAAUAGGAAAGGACCUCAAAGAGCUGGGAGGGAGAGUGGAGAGUUUUCUUAGUAAAGAUAUCAGCUAUCUGGUGUCUAAUAAAAAGGAGGCAAAAUUUGCACCAAGUCUUGGUCAGAUUUCUCCUGUUCCUAGCCCGGAAUCUGCAGGUAAUGGAGGAAAUAGUUCACCUCAUCCUAGCAAACGAAAAGAUCGACAUGACGGAAGUUCAUUUAAGAUAGUAGAUACAGUACGUAUGAGCAGAGGAAAAUCCUUAGUUGAAAAAGCAAUCAAGGAGCAGGAUUUAAUCCCUUCUGGUAGUAUACUAUCCAAUGCACUGAGCUGGGGAGUGAAGGUACUUCAUAUUGAUGAUGUUAAGAAUUACAUUGAACAAAAGAAAAAGGAGCUCUACCUAAUCAAAAGAUCAGGCAGUUCUUCAAAAGAUGUGGGAAAACAAGUUACUACUCAAAAGUCAAGAACAGGUAGACUGAAAAAUCCAUUUGUGAAGGUAGAAGAUAGAAGUUGCCUCUACCGGCCAUUUUAUCUGCAGUUACCCAUUUUUCCAGUUCUGAAUUACUGUGUUCCAAAACCGUAUAGUCCAUUUGAGGUGGAUAAGAAGCAUCCUUCUGGCCAAAAACAAACGCAGUCUAAGCAAAGAUGCAUACAUCCAAAAAUGCGGCCUUCUAUCAGUGUGGGUCAGCAUAAGAGACUUUUUUUUUUCCUUUCUGACACUGGUUUCUUCUUUGUCCUCAUCUUGGAUGCCAUCCAAACCAAAAUAAAUAGUGACAAGGACUGUGGAACUCCUGUUCAGCUCCCUCAGAAGGACAAAAAAAGGAGAGGAUAUUGUGAAUGCUGUGGGAAGAAAUAUGAAGAUCUGCAAACACACCUUGAAAGUGAACAGCACCGGAAUUUUGCACAAAGCACACAGUAUCAAGUUGUUGAUGAUAUAAUCUCAAAAUUUGUUUACAAGUUUGUAGAAUACAAAGAUGAUGAAAAAAUAAAAAGGACAAAAUGUAGUACAGGCUGUUUUUCUCCUAUUAUUGGGAAGAUAACUAGACCAGAUGAGCUGAAAGAACGACUGAAAAAGCAACGCAUUUCCUUGAAAAGCUACUCGUGGAAGGAUACGACAAUGCGGGCACUCAAACCAGAUCGCCAGCCUGUGGAAGUACUACCAAAUUCUGUGCCAAUACCUACCCCUCUUUCUGGGUCUGUUUGUUCAGUUCUUUAUUGUCACCUGGCACAACCUUCAGAACUGCAAAUUAAGUUCAGAAAUAAUGAUGAAAAUACUAAGACUGAUUGCUCCUGUGCUGCAAACUUAAGACAGACUGUUGUAUCAUCAUAUUUCAUACAACCACCCCCUUGGAAAGAUGACAAGGCAUAUACAGAGACCUUGUCUCGAGCUUAUGAGUCAUCCAAUAAGGAAAUACUGCAACUAGAAGUAAAUGAAAAGAAUUUACAGUGUUUUCAGGAGGGCAUGUGUACUUUAUGUUCUCAUGCUGAAGUUACAGAAUUUAGUGAAAAGGACAAAAACCCAUUGCAGCCAAAAAGAAAAUUAAAUAAUGCAGUAGUUUUACCAGCAAAGUGUUUGAAAAAAACAGAUGCCAAUCCUACGUUUGUCAAGAAACAUCGUGAUUUCUGUGAUAAUCAUCAACAGAUGCAGCACAAUGUAGUUCUGGAGGCUGAGGUAUCUGAUACUGCUGUAAACAAAGAACUUAAUGAAUUGGCUGCCAGCACUACACCCAGUUCACCAUCUGGAAAACUGCACAGAAAAGUGAAGCUUUACUUUGGAAGAAAUAAAAAAGAAACCCAGAAACAAAACCUGGAGUUAUGCUUAAAGUAUACAAAUGGACUGUCUGUUCCUGAACAGAAGAGAAGCUCUUGCAGCUCCCCAGUGCAGGCCCUGCUGGAGUUAUUUCAGACAAGUGAAAGAAACUCAGAAUUUGGAGGUUUUUCAGGUUACACAGAGAGCAAAGCCUGUAUGACUGCAAAGCAUAUGACUUCUUAGAUACCUCUGUGGAGGGUUGUGUGACUUCAUUCUGCACCCUGAAGAACCUCAGCUCCAAACAACUUUGCUAAUGUAACUGGCCAUGGUAUCUACAAAGCUCUUGUUUCAGUCUUCUAAGUGCAGGAAUGACGAGAAAAAAGUGGUAGCUACUCUUAACUUGUGUAGUCACAGUGUGGGGUGUGGACACGGAAUGCAGAGCAGGAAUUUGGAUGUGGAUCUUGCAUAUUUUUGGCACACCACCAGCAGAUGUCACGUGGGAUUCAUGUUUCCCAGUACAAGGCCUGCAAGCAGGAUCCUUGAGCCUCAGAACCUUCAUAGACCCUGGAAAAGGAGAGUCUUCUGGUCACUGAAAGAUUCACAAAUCUCGUCCUGUAUCCUGCAUUCAGGUUGGUUUUGUUGAGUAGCUGUUUAGGUUAUUUCUGAGGAUAUUUUUAUCAGCUAACUUGCCUGACAUACUUUAGGGGUUACUACAGAAGAUCUCACCUGGAAGCUCCUAAGUGAAUGCAACCUCUGUAUGUUGUAAAAUUUGCAUGAGAUCUCUGAAUAUUUUUGGCUUUGAUGGUGCGGAUUUCCAAACCACUUGCCACUGAGCCAAAUGCUUGUUAUUUGAUUAAUGAAAACUUGAGCUUUCUUCAUGCCAGAUUUUCUGAGAAACUACCAAUACCAAACCACACUUGUAGGUACCCAGUCCAAUCUCCUAAAUUCCAAGAGUGGUGAGCAGCAGUCACAAGAAGUGCAAAAAGGAUCCUGUGCAAUGACUAGAUGCAGGAUGGAACCCCCAACAAAACAAAA